rnacentral:rRNA from 1 species
GACAGAGGCCUCAAGCGUUAGGCGGAAUCACUGGGCUUAAAGCGUGUGUAGGCGGUUCGUUAAGUACCUUGUGAAAUCCCACGGCUCACCCGUGGAACUGCUGGGUAUACUGGCGGUCUUGGGCCAACUAGGGGCAGCUGGAACAAGCGGUGGAGCGGUGAAAUGCGUAGAUAUCGCUUGGAACGCCGAAGGUGAAAACAGGCUGCUGGGGUUGUGCCGACGCUGAGACACGAAAGCCAGGGGAGCAAACGGG